rnacentral:rRNA from 1 species
AGCGAACGCUGGCGGCAGGCCUAACACAUGCAAGUCGAGCGCCCCGCAAGGGGAGCGGCAGACGGGAGAGUAACACGUGGGAACGUACCCUUCAGUUCGGAACAACCCAGGGAAACUUGGGCUAAUACCGAAUACGUCCGUAAGGAGAAAGAUUUAUCGCUGAAGGAUCGGCCCGCGUCCGAUUAGCUAGUUGGUGAGGUAACGGCUCACCAAGGCGACGAUCGGUAGCUGGUCUGAGAGGAUGAUCAGCCUCACUGGGACUGAGACACGGCCCAGACUCCUACGGGAGGCAGCAGUGGGGAAUAUUGGACAAUGGGCGCAAGCCUGAUCCAGCCAUGCCGCGUGGAUGAUGAAGGCCCUAGGGUUGUAAAGUCCUUUCGGCGGGGAAGAUAAUGACGGUACCCGCAGAAGAAGCCCCGGCUAACUUCGUGCCAGCCGCCGCCGUAA